UCAGCCACACUGGGACUGAGACACGGCCCAGACUCCUACGGGAGGCAGCAGUGGGGAAUAUUGCACAAUGGGGGAAACCCUGAUGCAAGCAUGCCGCGUGUGUGAAAAAGGCCUUCGGGUUGUAAAGCACUUUCAGUUGUGAGGAAAAGUUAGUAGUUAAUACCUGCUAGCCGUGACGUUAACAACAGAASAAGCRCCGGCUAACUCCUUGCCAACAGCMGCGGUAAUACAGAGGGUGCGAGCGUUUAUCCGAAUUACUGGGCGUAAAGCGCACGCACGCCGCUUGUURAGCUAGAUGUGAAAGCCCCUGGGCUCUCCUGGGAUGGUCAUUUAGAACUGGCAGACUAGAGUCUUGGAGAGGGGAGUGGCACUCCYMGGUGAAGCGGYAGAAMUGCGUAGAUAUCUGGAGGAACAUCAGUGGCGAAGGGCGACUCCCUGGCCAAAGACUGMCGCUCAUGUGNCGAAAGUGUGG
rnacentral:rRNA from 1 species